ACGCUGGCGGCGUGCCUAAUACAUGCAAGUCGAACGGUCUUUUCUAUGGAAGCUUGCUUCCACUGAGAAGAUAGUGGCGAACGGGUGAGUAACACGUGGGUAACCUGCCCAUAAGAGGGGGGAUAACAUCCGGAAACGGGUGCUAAUACCGCAUAGUUUUCUUGGUCGCAUGAUCGGGAAAGGAAAGACGGCCUUUGUGCUGUCGCUUAUGGAUGGACCCGCGGCGUAUUAGUUAGUUGGUGAGGUAACGGCUCACCAAGACGAUGAUACGUAGCCGACCUGAGAGGGUGAUCGGCCACAUUGGGACUGAGACACGGCCCAAACUCCUACGGGAGGCAGCAGUAGGGAAUCUUCCGCAAUGGACGAAAGUCUGACGGAGCAACGCCGCGUGAGUGAAGAAAGGUUUUCGGAUCGUAAAACUCUGUUGUCAGAGAAGAACAAGUUGGAGAGUAACUGCUCCAGCCUUGACGGUAUCUGACCAGAAAGCCACGGCUAACUACGUGCCAGCCGCAGC
rnacentral:rRNA from 1 species